rnacentral:rRNA from 1 species
GGAUGUGAUGGGGAGCGAAAUUUAGUAGCGAAGUAGCUGAUUUCACACUGUCAAGAAAAGUCUCUAUCGAGGUUAAAGGUACCCGUACCGCAAACCGACACAGGUGGGUGAGGAGAGUAUCCUAAGGCCAGCGAGAGAACUGUUGUUAAGGAACUCGGCAAAAUGACCCCGUAACUUAGGGAUAAGGGGUGCCACCAUCAGGUGGCCGCAGAGAAUAGGCCCAAGCGACUGUUUACCAAAAACAUAGGUUUCUGCUAAGUCGCAAGACGAUGUAUAGGAGCUGACGCCUGC